GAUGAAGAACGUAGCGAAAUGCGAUACGUAAUGUGAAUUGCAGAAUUCAGUGAAUCAUCGAGUCUUUGAACGCACAUUGCGCCCCCUGGUAUUCCGGGGGGCAUGCCUGUCCGAGCGUCAUUGCUGCCCUCAAGCACGGCUUGUGUGUUGGGCCUCCGUCCUCCUCCCGGGGGACGGGCCCGAAAGGCAGCGGCGGCACCGCGUCCGGUCCUCGAGCGUAUGGGGCUUCGUCACCCGCUCUUGUAGGCCCGGCCGGCGCUUGCCGACACAUCAAUCUUUUUUCCAGGUUGACCUCGGAUCAGGUAGGGAUACCCGCUGAACUUAAGCAUGUCAAUAAGCGGAGGA
rnacentral:misc_RNA from 1 species